GACGGAGGCCCCAAGCGUUAGUCGGAAUUACUGGGCUUAAAGGGUGCGUAGGCGGGCGCGUAAGUGUUCUGUGAAAUCCCCGGGCUCAACCCGGGAACCGCAGGGCAUACUGCGCGUCUCGAGGAAGCUAGAGGCCGGUGGAACGAUCGGUGGAGCGGUGGAAUGCGUAGAGAUCGAUCGGAACGCCAAGGGUGAAGACAACUGGCUGGGGCUUUCCUGACGCUGAGGCACGAAAGCGCGGGGAUCAAACAGG
rnacentral:rRNA from 1 species